rnacentral:rRNA from 1 species
CACUAACUGGAGGACCGAACCGACUAAUGUUGAAAAAUUAGCGGAUGACUUGUGGCUGGGGGUGAAAGGCCAAUCAAACCGGGAGAUAGCUGGUUCUCCCCGAAAGCUAUUUAGGUAGCGCCUCGUGAAUUCAUCUCCGGGGGUAGAGCACUGUUUCGGCAAGGGGGUCAUCCCGACUUACCAACCCGAUGCAAACUGCGAAUACCGGAGAAUGUUAUCACGGGAGACACACGGCGGGUGCUAACGUCCGUCGUGAAGAGGGAAACAACCCAGACCGCCAGCUAAGGUCCCAAAGUCAUGGUUAAGUGGGAAACGAUGUGGGAAGGCCCAGACAGCCAGGAUGUUGGCUUAGAAGCAGCCAUCAUUUAAAGAAAGCGUAAUAGCUCACUGGUCGAGUCGGCCUGCGCGGAAGAUGUAACGGGGCUAAACCAUGCACCGAAGCUGCGGCAGCGACGCUUAUGCGUUGUUGGGUAGGGGAGCGUUCUGUAAGCCUGUGAAGGUGUGCUGUGAGGCAUGCUGGAGGUAUCAGAAGUGCGAAUGCUGACAUAAGUAACGAUAAAGCGGGUGAAAAGCCCGCUCGCCGGAAGACCAAGGGUUCCUGUCCAACGUUAAUCGGGGCAGGGUGAGUCGACCCCUAAGGCGAGGCCGAAAGGCGUAGUCGAUGGGAAACAGGUUAAUAUUCCUGUACUUGGUGUUACUGCGAAGGGGGGACGGAGAAGGCUAUGUUGGCCGGGCGACGGUUGUCCCGGUUUAAGCGUGUAGGCUGGUUUUCCAGGCAAAUCCGGAAAAUCAAGGCUGAGGCGUGAUGACGAGGCACUACGGUGCUGAAGCAACAAAUGCCCUGCUUCCAGGAAAAGCCUCUAAGCAUCAGGUAACAUCAAAUCGUACCCCAAACCGACACAGGUGGUCAGGUAGAGAAUACCAAGGCGCUUGAGAGAACUCGGGUGAAGGAACUAGGCAAAAUGGUGCCGUAACUUCGGGAGAAGGCACGCUGAUAUGUAGGUGAAGUCCCUCGCGGAUGGAGCUGAAAUCAGUCGAAGAUACCAGCUGGCUGCAACUGUUUAUUAAAAACACAGCACUGUGCAAACACGAAAGUGGACGUAUACGGUGUGACGCCUGCCCGGUGCCGGAAGGUUAAUUGAUGGGGUCAGCGCAAGCGAAGCUCUUGAUCGAAGCCCCGGUAAACGGCGGCCGUAACUAUAACGGUCCUAAGGUAGCGAAAUUCCUUGUCGGGUAAGUUCCGACCUGCACGAAUGGCGUAAUGAUGGCCAGGCUGUCUCCACCCGAGACUCAGUGAAAUUGAACUCGCUGUGAAGAUGCAGUGUACCCGCGGCAAGACGGAAAGACCCCGUGAACCUUUACUAUAGCUUGACACUGAACAUUGAGCCUUGAUG